rnacentral:rRNA from 1 species
CCUACGGGUGGCAGCAGUAGGGAAUAUUGCUCAAUGGGGGAAACCCUGAAGCAGCAACGCCGCGUGGAGGAUGAAGGUUUUCGGAUUGUAAACUCCUUUUGUUAGAGAAGAUAAUGACGGUAUCUAACGAAUAAGCACCGGCUAACUCCGUGCCAGCAGCCGCGGUAAUACGGCGGGUGCAAGCGUUACUCGGAAUCACUGGGCGUAAAGGGCGCGUAGGCGGGAUAGCAAGUCAGUUGUGAAAUCCUAUGGCUUAACCAUAGAAGUGCAUUUGAAACUGGUAUUCUAGAGUAUGGUAGAGGUAGGUGGAAUUCGUGGUGUAGCGGUAAAAUGCGUAGAGAUCAAGAGGAAUACUGAUUGCGAAGGCGACCUGCUAGACCGUCACUGACGCUGAUGCGCGAAAGCGUGGGGAGCAAACAGGAUUAGAUACCCCUGUAGUC